rnacentral:rRNA from 1 species
CACGUAGGGGGCAAGCGUUGUCCGGAUUCAUUGGGCGUAAAGAGCUCGUAGGCGGUUCGAUAAGUCGGGUGUGAAACCUCCAGGCUCAACCUGGAGACGCCACCCGAUACUGUCGUGACUAGAGUCCAGUAGGGGAGCGUGGAAUUCCUGGUGUAGCGGUGAAAUGCGUAGAUAUCGGGAGGAAUACCGAUGGCGAAGGCGAGUCUCUGGACAGUUACUGACGCUGAGGCACGAAGGCCAGGGGAGCAAACGGG